AAUCAACGCUGGCGGCGUGCCUCAGACAUGCAAGUCGAACGCGAAAGCCCCCUUCGGGGGGCAAGUAGAGUGGCGCACGGGUGAGUAACACGUAGGUAAUCUACCUUUGGAUGGGGAAUAACCACCGGAAACGGUGGCUAAUACCGCAUAAUGCGGCGGCACCUAAUGGUGACAGUUGUUAAAGCGGGGGAUCGCAAGACCUCGCGUCUAAAGAGGAGCCUGCGGCGGAUUAGCUAGUUGGUAAGGUAACGGCUUACCAAGGCGAUGAUCCGUAGCCGGCCUGAGAGGGCGGUCGGCCACACUGACACUGACAUACGGGUCAGACUCCUACGGGAGGCAGCAGUCGGGAAUUUUGGGCAAUGGGCGAAAGCCUGACCCAGCAACGCCGCGUGAAGGAUGAAAUCCUUCGGGAUGUAAACUUCGCAAGAACGGGAAGAAUAAGCCGGUGUCAACACCACCGGCGAUGACGGUACUGUUUGUAAGCUCCGGCUAACUCCGUGCCAGCAGCCGCGGUAAUACGGGGGG
rnacentral:rRNA from 1 species